rnacentral:rRNA from 1 species
UACAGAGAGUGCAAACGUUGUUCGGAAUUACUGGGCUUAAAGCGCACGUAGGCUGUGUCGUAAGUGUCAAGUGAAAUCCCACGGCUCACCCGUGGAACUGCCUGGCAGACUGCGAUGCUCGAGUGUGGUAGGGGAGAGCGGAACUCCUGGUGGAGCGGUGAAAUGCGUAGAUAUCAGGAGGAACACCGGUGGCGAAGGCGGCUCUCUGGUCCACAACUGACGCUGAGGUGCGAAAGCUAGGGGAGCAAACGGG